rnacentral:rRNA from 1 species
UACGUAGGGUGCAAGCGUUAAUCGGAUUUACUGGGCGUAAAGGGCGCGUAGGCGGCGCGAGAAGUCGAGUGUGAAAGCCCCGGGCUCAACCUGGGAAUUGCGCUCGAUACUCUUGUGCUUGAGUUCGGGAGAGGAGCGUGGAAUUCCCAGUGUAGAGGUGAAAUUCGUAGAUAUUGGGAAGAACACCGGUGGCGAAGGCGGCGCUCUGGACCGAGACUGACGCUGAGGCGCGAAAGCGUGGGGAGCAAACAGGG